rnacentral:rRNA from 1 species
GAUGAACGCUAGCGGCAGGCCUAAUACAUGCAAGACGAACGGUAAGUUGAGUAGCAAUACUUAGCCAAGAGUGUCGUACGGGUGCGUAACACGUAUGCAACCUACCCUAUACAGGAGGAUAGCCUAGGGAAACCUGGAUUAACCCUUCAUAGUAUUAUUGGAUGGCAUCAUUUGAUAAUUAAAACUGAGGUGGUAUAGGAUGGGCAUGCGUCUGAUUAGUUAGUUGGCGGGGUAAUGGCCCACCAAGACGAUGAUCAGUAGGGGUUCUGAGAGGAAGAUCCCCACACUGGCACUGAGAUACGGGCCAGACUCCUACGGGAGGCAGCAGUAGGGAAUAUUGGUC